CGUCGCUGGCCUGGCACUCGUGCCUUCUGCCCGCUCUGCUCUCCCCCGGGGCAGUCAGCUGCCAACGCACUGUGUGCGACCUUGGCGUGCAAGAGGCAGGAAGAACCCGGAUUUAUUUUUUGACUGAGUGUAACAUGAGCGCACACAUCCAUGUGCUGUUUUGCAUUCACCAGUGGUUUGCACUUGCUUGGAUGAGCGCUCAAGGCACUCUCGCCAUGCUUCAAGGAAUGCCUUAUGAAGAGUAGACCAGCAAGGGGAGCGGGGGAUCAGGAGGGGUCCCGGAGCUUUGGGAAGCAUGCUGGUAUUCUGGCAGGCAUAUGUCCAGAACUUCGUUCGCAGUAUACAUGGAGAAGGAACUUCCUAUUUUUUGUGGUUUUGUUGCCUGUUGAAUCCCAAGCGCGGAAUCUCGGGGACAAAGUAAGUCCCAUUUCCAGAUACAAACUUCUGUAUUAGUCAGCUUUUGCUGUAUAACAAACUACCCCAAAACUCAGUGUCUUACAAAAAUUGAAGGGGCAGCAGCUACUAGAAGGAAAAUCUUCUCAUGGUGGAUAACUGGAACAUGAGAGGACAAGACCCUCUGUACAAGCACCUUUCAAGUCUUCACUAUUUACUAAUAGCCCACUGGCCAAGGCAAGUCAUGUGGCCAAGCCCAAAGUCAAGGGGCAGAGAAACAUACACCCUGCCUACCAUGAGGCCCUGGCAAGGCUGUGGGUGUAAAAUACUACCACAAGAGCAUAAAGAAUUGGGACCAAUACCUCAUAGGAGUUUAUCACAAAUAGCUAUUUUUUUUAUUUGCUUUUCUGCUGAUUCCCUGUUAUCAGGAGCCCGAAUGAUGUGGUAUUACGAUAUGUGGGAAGGAGAAGCAUUCUAUAAUCCUGUGAUGAGGUCUCCGUCUUUUAAAGAGCCUGUGUUCCUGGGCUGUGACCUACAGAAGUGCUUCUCAGCUCCCUCCUUCUUCCCUCUUAAGUGAGACAGGAAGAGGGGGUUAGAGUUGGGUAUUUCCCUUCUCCCAGGUGACUUAGGCUCUGGUAAAACCCACGUUGGUUAGGCUUUGGCAAAAUAGUUUCUCUUGGCGGAAAGCCUUUGUUAACAAGAUGCUAUGGGCUCAUUUCAAAAUGGCUACUUGUCCCCUCCCCUUGCGAGAAACAUGAGGGGAAUUUUAUCUUCAUUCUGAGGACCCGGUGGAGCUCCUAAAAGUAAAACUUAUGAAUGUGUAUCGGCUCCACUAAGACUGGCCCCUGGAAUUUUUAACUUGUAGGCUGGUCCACGCUUAGCCUCCAGCAAGUGUUUCUACCCAUACUGGCUCCAACGGUGGGUUUCUGCUCCCAGUAGGCUGUGAUUGUCUGUAUUCAUCUCUCUUGCUCAUUUUCAGUGUGGUGGCUUGCCUUGUAAUCUCGAUUUCCUGACAGAUCUAAGAAGAGUUGUUGAUUUUCAGUAUGUUAAGCUUUUUUCUUAUGAGGAUGGGAAUGACCACUUCCAAACUCUUUACAUGUCAGACUGGAAACUGCUUUUCUUAUUAGGAAAAAACCCACUUUUACUCAUGGAAAAGAAUAAAAAUCACUUGAAAUUCUCAUCACACACAUGUAACUGCUGAAUAUGGUUGUUUCUUAGGGAAGGUUGAGGGAAUAACAUCAAAAUGUAACUCAAUGAAGAUGAUCCAGUAAGGUGAUGAGUGGAUGAUGUUUACUAUUUAUCCCUUAGGUGUCCAAAUCUUGAUCUAAGUAGUGAAUUUAAAGGUUUUGGAGGAAUAGAUGGAAGCUUAUUUGUUGGUCAGUCUUCUCUAAAUAUUGUCGUCC